AUUGAACGCUGGCGGCAGGCCUAACACAUGCAAGUCGAGCGGUUGAGGGGAGCUUGCUCCCUGAUUCAGCGGCGGACGGGUGAGUAAUGCUUAGGAAUCUGCCUAUUAGUGGGGGACAACAUCUCGAAAGGGAUGCUAAUACCGCAUACGCCCUACGGGAGAAAGCAGGGGAUCUUCGGAGCUUGCGCUAAUAGAUGAGCCUGAGUCGGAUUAGCCAGUUGGUGGGGUAAAGGCCUACCAAGGCGACGAUCUGUAGCGGGUCUGAGAGGAUGGUCCGCCACACUGGGACUGAGACACGGCCCAGACUCCUACGGGAGGCAGCAGUGGGGAAUAUUGGACAAUGGGGGGAACCCUGAUCCAGCCAUGCCGCGUGUGUGAAGAAGGCCUUAUGGUUGUAAAGCACUUUAAGCGAGGAGGAGGCUACUUUAGUUAAUACCUAGAGAUAGUGGACGUUACUCGCAGAAUAAGCACCGGCUAACUCUGUGCCAGCCGCCGCCGUAAAAC
rnacentral:rRNA from 1 species